rnacentral:rRNA from 1 species
AGUAAAAGUCGUAACAAGGUUUCCGUAGGUGAACCUGCGGAAGGAUCAUUAACGAGGUUACUGGAGGGGACUCUGAUGCUGGCUCUUUGGCACUCGUGCUCGAGUCUCCUUCGCUCAUCCCACACACCACUGUGCACUACUUCGAGUUAUGCGGUCUCGCUCGUCGGGAUUGCCUAAUUUGGAAACACUACAAACUUUUUACCAAGUCAGAAUGUAAUGAAGUUAAUAAUAAUACAAUACAACUUUCAACAACGGAUCUCUUGGCUCUCGCAUCGAUGAAGAACGCAGCGAAAUGCGAUAAGUAAUGUGAAUUGCAGAAUUCAGUGAAUCAUCGAAUCUUUGAACGCACCUUGCGCUCCUUGGUAUUCCGAGGAGCAUGCCUGUUUGAGUGUCAUGAAAUCAUCAACCCUCGAGUGACUUGCGUCGCUCGGGCGGAUUGGACUUGGAGGCUGUGUCGGCGCAAGUCGACUCCUCUCGAAGGCAUUAGCUGGACGUCGUCGCUCGGUAAGCCUCGGUACUACGCGGUGUGAUAGUCUUAUUCACCUUCCGUUGUUACUUUGGCGAGUGGUGUGCGCGUACGGCUCUCAUUUAUUAUUCUUAAUCAAAUCUGGCCUCAAAUCAGGUAGGACUACCCGCUGAACUUAAGCAUAUCAAUAAGCGGA